rnacentral:rRNA from 1 species
GAAAGAAUAUCUGUUUGAUAGGCUGGCAGUGUAAGUGCAGAAAUGCAUGAUCAGCUGACCAGUACUAAUUUUCCGUGAGGCUUGACCAU